rnacentral:rRNA from 1 species
GACGAACGCUGGCGGCGUGCUUAACACAUGCAAGUCGAACGGGAACCUUUAUUUCGGUAAAGGUGAGAGUGGCAAACGGGUGAGUAACACGUAGGCAACCUGCCGACAGGAUGGGGACAACAUUCCGAAAGGAAUGCUAAUACCGAAUGAAGUCACCGGAGGGCAUCCUCUGGUGAUGAAAGAUGGCCUCUGAAUAUGCUAUCACCUGUCGAUGGGCCUGCGUCUGAUUAGCCAGUUGGCGGGGUAACGGCCCACCAAAGCGACGAUCAGUAGCCGGUCUGAGAGGAUGAACGGCCACAUUGGGACUGAGACACGGCCCAGACUCCUACGGGAGGCAGCAGUGGGGAAUCUUCCACAAUGGGCGAAAGCCUGAUGGAGCAACGCCGCGUGAGUGAAGAAGGUCUUCGGAUCGUAAAGCUCUGUUGCACGGGACGAAAACUGGGUUNGAGAACAUUGAACCNGGGNGAC